rnacentral:rRNA from 1 species
CAGCAGCCGCGGUAAUACGUAGGUGGCAAGCGUUGUCCGGAAUUAUUGGGCGUAAAGGGCUCGCAGGCGGUUUCUUAAGUCUGAUGUGAAAGCCCCCGGCUCAACCGGGGAGGGUCAUUGGAAACUGGGAAACUUGGGUGCAGAAGAGGAGAGUGGAAUUCCACGUGUAGCGGUGAAAUGCGUAGAGAUGUGGAGGAACACCAGUGGCGAAGGCGACUCUCUGGUCUGUAACUGACGCUGGGGAGCGAAAGCGUGGGGAGCGAACAGGAUUAGAUACCCGCGUAGUCCCUGUCUCUUAUAC